UUUAGUCAUAUCUUCCACCUUUACAUUUUCAAAGGUUCGGUAAUGCUUCUACCACAUUUAUGACAGGGAGUAUCACCACAUCCGUCUUCAAGAACUCCUAGAUCUAAAAAUCCAGACGCUUGUCAUGAUGGUUUAAUCAUAUCUUCCACCUGUACGCUUUUCGAAGGUUGGUAAUGCUUCUACCACAUUUAUGACAGGGAGUAUCACCACAUCCGUCUUCAAGAACUUCUAGAUCCAAAAAUCCAGACGCUUGUCAUGAUGGUUUAAUCAUAUCUUCCACCUUUACACUUUUUGAAGGUU